rnacentral:rRNA from 1 species
GUGUCAGCCGCCGCGGUAAUACGUAGGGUGCGAGCGUUAAUCGGAAUUACUGGGCGUAAAGCGUGCGCAGGCGGUUUUGUAAGACAGAUGUGAAAUCCCCGGGCUUAACCUGGGAACUGCGUUUGUGACUGCAAGGCUAGAGUACGGCAGAGGGGGGUGGAAUUCCUGGUGUAGCAGUGAAAUGCGUAGAUAUCAGGAGGAACACCGAUGGCGAAGGCAGCCCCCUGGGCCUGUACUGACGCUCAUGCACGAAAGCGUGGGGAGCAAACAGGAUUAGAAACCCCCGUAGUCC